GACCCUGCGGGGCACGGCCGGCCCGGGAACGGGUCGGGGGAGGUCGGGAGCGCGUCCGUGAGCCCGGAGCGGCGGCGGCGUCGGUGGCGUUGGGAGCGAGCGGGCCGGGUGCGGCGCGGGUGGUGGAGGAGUAGCCCGGGGCUCGGUAAGCGGUGCCGGCCUGGUCCUGUCCCCGAACCUGGCCAACCCCUAUUCUCUAACCAUGGCACAAGUAGA